CUCUCUCUGUGACCCCCCUCUAUUUUCGCCGCCAACUACUGCAAGCCCGCCGCAGAUCUCGAAUUGGCGCUCUCUAUAAUCGCCUUUGGAGAUCAUAAAGUCGUCGCCUACGGAGGUUUCGAUUCGCGACUGUCAUACGAUUUUCACGAUAGAGAAAUCAUGUCAGCGCGAUUUAGUAAUAAUAAACUGGACAAUUAAACGCGUUGUCGAGAGGGAGGGAGAGAGAGAGAGACCAAAUUUUGCUCGUGAGAUUAGAGAAGAAAUUAAAGAUGAAGACCCAAAUGCUGACCUCAAGGGCUCCUGAGAAAUUGGUCCAAACACAAACACGGUGUGAAUCUGAAAACCACACCCUAGACGGAGCAUUGAAUUACUUCAAUUCCAUGAUUCAAAUGCGACCCAUGCCUUCUAUUGGGUUUUGAAUCAAUUGCUUGGUGCGCUAUCUAAGAUGGACCACUAUCCCACUGUUGUCCUUCCUAUGUACAAAGAACUUAUGCGGGUUGUGAUGAUUUAGGCUAUGAUGUCAGUGCUUUGAGUAUUGUUAUUAAGUGCUUUUGUCGUUUGAAGAAGGUGAAAUUAGGCUUCUCUGUUUUGGCAAGCGGGCUUCAACCGGAUGCUUAUGCAUUGAGUCUUCUGCUUCAUGGGCUUGGCAGGGAACGCUCGAGAAACUUGGAAGGCACUAGUGGGUUUUGUAAGGCCGGAGAAUAGCAUAAUGAUGAGAGGAUUAAACCAAUCAGCACUGUUUUAGUCUUAUCAUUGACAACCUCUUUAAAGAAGGACGAAUAGAUGAGGCCUUGAACUUGUUUCAAGAUAUGAUCAACCGCGGUGUUCUUCCAAAUGUAGUUUGUUAUACGUCUUUGAUGUACGGAUUAGGCAAAUUUGAUAGUUUGGAAGAAGCAAAUUUGGUACUUUGGAUGGAGCUAAGAUAUUCCUAGUCGACAUGUUCGACAAUGGAAUCUCACCUAAUAUACAUACUUACAACUCUUUAAUAUAUGGAUUGUGCCACUCAAGCCAAUGGAGUGAAGCAAUCAAGUUGUCUGAGGAAAUGAAGGAUCAAGCUAUUUCCCAGAUGCAAUUACAGAUAAUAUACUAGUGGAUGCUCUUUCUAAAGACGGAAGGAUGCAAGAAGCUCGUGCCAUCUUUCAUCAAAUGAUUCGAAGAGAUUUACGUCUAGAUAUCGUCACUUAUACAUUUCAAGCUUCUUAAGGACAUGAUCCAGAAAGGGUUUUGCCUGAUCAUAUCCAUGUUAUGCAAAUCAUCUUGAAAAAGAUUCACGGCAUAAGGUUUGAGAAGGAAAAUGGAAACACCAUUCAAUCAAGAGAAGAAGUCUAAAAGAACGCACUCAGGCAAGCACAUGAGUAAGGCAGACAUCCAAUUAUCAUUCAAUCAUGACAAGAAGUCCCUGGCCAAAGCAAGUGCAACCCCAUUAUUUUACCAUUAUGAGAGAUUGAUGAAAAAAUGCCUCCUCUAAAAUAUUACUUUUCGAGACUUGUUAUCAUUUCCGUCAAA